AGCUACAGUCUAGAAUGCAGUCGAGCGGACAGAUGGGAGCUUGCUCCCUGAUGUUAGCGGCGGACGGGUGAGUAACACGUGGGUAACCUGCCUGUAAGACUGGGAUAACUCCGGGAAACCGGGGCUAAUACCGGAUGGUUGUUUGAACCGCAUGGUUCAAACAUAAAAGGUGGCUUCGGCUACCACUUACAGAUGGACCCGCGGCGCAUUAGCUAGUUGGUGAGGUAACGGCUCACCAAGGCAACGAUGCGUAUCCGACCUGAGAGGGUGAUCGGCCACACUGGGACUGAGACACGGCCCAGACUCCUACGGGAGGCAGCAGUAGGGAAUCUUCCGCAAUGGACGAAAGUCUGACGGAGCAACGCCGCGUGAGUGAUGAAGGUUUUCGGAUCG
rnacentral:rRNA from 1 species